AUUGAACGCUGGCGGCAGGCCUAACACAUGCAAGUCGAACGAGUAGCGGACGGGUGAGUAAUGUCUGGGAAACUGCCUGAUGGAGGGGGAUAACUACUGGCCACGGUAGCAAAUGCCGCAUACCAUCGGAUGUGCCCAGAUGGGAUUAUCUAGUAGGUGGGGUAAAGGCUCACCUAGGCGACGAUCCCUAGCUGGUCUGAGAGGAUGACCAGCCAAACUGCACAUGAGACCCGGUCCAGACUCGUACGGUAGGCAGCAGUGGGGAAUAUUGCACAAUGGUCGCAAGCCGGAUUCAGCCAUGCAGCGUGUAUGAAGAAGGCCUUCGGGUUGUAAAGGACUUUCAGCGGCAAGGCGUUACCCGCAGAAGAAGCACCGGCUAACUCCGUGCCAGCAGCCGCGGUAAUAC
rnacentral:rRNA from 1 species